rnacentral:rRNA from 1 species
AACGUAGGUACCGAGCGUUAUCCGGAUUUACUGGGCGUAAAGCGCGUUCAGGCGGUUUGGCAAGUCGGGCAUGAAAUCUCUCGGCUCAACCGGGAGAGGUUGUCCGAUACUUCCAGACUUGAGGGCAGUAGAGGGUGGUGGAAUUCCGGGUGUAGUGGUGAAAUGCGUAGAUAUCCGGAGGAACACCAGUGGCGAAGGCGGCUUCCUGGCCUGUUCUUGACGCUGAGGCGCGAAAGCUAGGGGAGCAAACGGG